UUCCGUUAGCUUCCUCAGCAUACUUACAAAUGAAUGGAUGGUGCUUUUUUAGUGCCCCAGGGUCUUCCAUCACUUCUAAUCGCAGAGCAAAAAAAAAAAAAAAAUGAUAGUUCCAGUAUCCCCAUUAAUUCAUUAGUUAACUCUGCAUUAUUCCAUUAAGUGCUGCCAAGGAAUUGCUGUCAGUUACGCAGUUUUCUUUUUUCUUUUUCUCUAAUAUACAGAGCUGACCUAAAUAAUAUAUGCUUUUCAUCAGAUAAUACUGACCUGCAAGAGAGGUUUUGUCCCCAGACCGAGAGACCAGACUUUCAAUGUUGGUAGCAGUAGAUCUUACAGUGAUGAAACCAAAAAUGUUUUUCUGAGAAUAAUGAUAAAACCAUUCAUUUCUACUGAGGGCUGUUCGCACUGAUAGAUGGUCAAAUACAAGAAGCAGACUAAAUGGAUGAUCCUGGCAUUACUGCUUCUGACUCUUUUUUUUUAACUUUAAUGUUUUUGUAUACAGACUGUAGGUAUGGACAGGUGCCAGGCUGCAUUGAAUUUUCCUAGGCCUCCUGCAAUUUCAGUUGUUAGUUUUAUGUACUAGUUCUUAAAGGAAAAGAUAUCUUUCUAUAUGCAGAUAUGGUGCUUCAACUUGAUAAUAUGGCUGCUGCUUUCUAAGUAGUGUAAUGGUGUAUUUAAUGAGAUAUGCAGGUUAACUGAAAUUUAUAGUAAUUGAAACCUUCCUAAAAAUUGUUAUAAUUCCUUACCUUAAUAAAUUAUAUUUAGUGUAUUUAUCUUCCUUUGAUUUAUCUGGAUUUUGUCAUGCUUUGGAUAUAAAGAAUCAUUUAUAAUUCUAUUAUAAUAUAUAUGCAUAUACAGAGGGAGAAAGUAAUUUCUCUCUCUUUAUUUCCAGGAUCUAGCCCAGAAUUGUAUUUAAAAUAAUAGCUAAAACCUUUUUUUUGGUCUGUUUGUUUUCAUUUGGUUGUCUCUAAUCCAAAGGCUGAGUACUGCCCCAAAUUCAGUUUCAAUGAGAAUUUAGUUAUUUGAGAUUUUAAAAUCACUGUUGAUCUUUUUUCCAAUUUCAAUUGGAAGUCAUACAUUUUAACAGGAUAUGCUUAAGUUGCUGACUAAGCCAAGCAAAUGAUUGUCCCCUGAGUUCUAGAAAGCAAAUAUUUUUAAACAAAAUCCUAAGUUAUAUUACAGAUAAAUUAGAUUUUAAUUUAUCUGCUGGUUGAAUGCUAUAAUCAUCUCCAGUCUUUCUCCUAACUCUUCAUUCAUUGUUCAGGCAAUGAAUAUUUAUCAAGUGUCUACAACCUGUCAGAUAGCAUGUGAGAUGCUAGGGAAUGUACUUAUAAGCCUAGUGAGGCAUCAGGCAGGGAUUCUCUGUUCACCAUUACUGGCUGAUAGAAUCAAGGCUAGAUUACAAGUUCAUUGUUCUCACUUAAUAAAAAAGCAAAAUUUUAGCAGCCUUCUUGAGACAUUCAAGCUCUCUGGCUGCAAAAGUUUGCAGAAGGCUUCAGCAGAUGAUGGUGUGAAAUUGAUGGUUUUCAAACUCUAGCAUGCCUAGAAUUAUUGCAGGGCUUGUUAAAACACUCAUUGCUGGGCUCCACCCAAAGGCUCUGAUGCUGUAGGUCUGGGGUUGGAGAUGGAGGGAGGGGGAUUUCAUUUCUAAGAAGUUCCCAAGUUUGCAGAUGAUGUCGUUUGGGGGGCUACACUUUGAGAACCACUACUCUAAAGUAUUUUCUUCCUUAAUAGACCCUCCUUCUGGUGACCAUGAUGACGUUAAUAGUAAUAAAGAUAGAAUAGCUCACACCUAAUGAUUUCUUGUGAUGUCAGGUACUUUGACCUUUACAUCUGUCAUGACAUUGAGUUCUUACACAAUUUAACGAAAUAGUUGUGGUUACUGGCCUCAUUUUACAGGUGAGGAAAUAAACAUUUGAAAAGGUUAAUUAAAUUGCCCAAUGUCAUAGAGCUAGUAAGUGAGCAAGGCCAGGAUUUGAACUUAAAUCUUUCUGACAGCACCAGGCCCUCUGCCUUCCUAUGCUGACCAACACCCCUGGGCAGUGACAGUGCAACCAUAUUCCCUUUGGGAGGCACUAAAGAGAGGUCUGUUGUUCUUGUCUCCGUGUGUGCCUGCACCUUGGGGAUUCUGAGUGGAUGGCCCUGUGGGGUCUCAUGGGAAAAAGAUAACAGGACUUCCUUUAGUAAUUUAUUCUAGUGGCUAAUAAGCUUUUUGCGAUGGGAAAUUUUCUUUUUAAUUGGAUAAAAUAUUUCCGUUUUACAGAUUUUAAAAGCUUUUAAAUCAUCAAGAAUUAGAUAACUGUAGCACUAGCAUGCCCAGUUGAAUUGACCACAGCUCUAGAUGAGGCAGGAUUUGACAGUGAGGGCUGGAGUAAGGUCUGCUUUUUCUGAAAGGUCAUUCACCCCUCUCUCCAAUCCUCAUCCAUUUACAGCGCAUUUCAAGAGGUGUCUGUGAAACUAGAUUGAGCUCUCCUGACCUGAGUUAAACUACUUUUUGUGCAUAGUUCCUGACUUAAUAAUUAUUCAGUAUAUUAAUUAAUAAUUCUCUCAAGAGAGUCCAGUGAUCUUUUCAAGUAAGGAAAAUCAAAGAAUGUUCUAGUCAUUCAUCAGCAUCCUGGAAGGGCUACCUUGCUUCCUGCUGUCUUCCCCAACAUUGCUAGGGAAUCCUCCCAUUUCUGAACCUCACAUCAGACUCUUCUCCCACCCACAAAGGGGAGAGAGCCCUUUCAGGUGGGCGAUAUUAUUAUUAUUAUUAUUAUAAAAUAAAACACAGAUACAGAAAACAGCAUAAAACUAUUGGAUGACUUAAUGAAUUAUUCUGAAGUGAACAUUCUUGAAACUACUGCCAAGUCAAGAAAUAGAACUUUGCCACCCACUGUGAUGGUUAAUUUUAUAUGUCAACUUGACUGGGCUAAUGGAUGCCCAGAUAGCUGGUAAAACAUGAUGUAUUUCUGACCAUGUCUGUGAGGGUGCCUCUGGAAGAAAUUAGUAUUUGAAUCAAUGGCCUGAGUGAAGAAGAUUGCCCUUAUCAAAUUCAUUUUAAUAAUUUGAUAUGAACUUUCCUACACUGUUGGUGGGAAUGUAAAUUGGUGCAGCCACUACAGGGGACAGCAUGGAAGUGCCUUGAAAAACUAAAAAUAGUUACCAUAUGAUCCAACAGUCCCAUUUCUGGGCAUAUAUCUGGAGAAAAAUAUAAUCUGAAAAGAUACAUGCACCCCUGUGUUCAUAGCAGCGCUAUUUACAAUAACCAAGACAUGGAAACAACUAAAUGUCCAUCGACAGAGGAAUGGAUAAAGAAGAUGUGGUGUGUGUGUGUGUGUGUGUGUGUAUACAUAUGUGUGUGUGUAUAUAUAUAUGUAUAUAUAUAUAUAUAUAUAUGCGCACAAUGAAAUACUACUCAUCUAUAACAAAGAAUGAAAUAAUGUCAUUUGCAGGAAUAUGGGUGGACCUAGAGAUUAUCACACUAAGUGAAGUAAGUCAAAAAGAGAAGGACAAAUACCAUAUUAUAUCACUUACAUGUGGAAUCUAAAAAAAAAAAGAUAAAAAGGAACUUAUUUACAAAACAAAUAUAUACUCACAGACAUAGAAAAGAAAUAUAUGGUUACCAAAGGGGGUUGUAGGGAGCAAGGGAGAUAAAUUAGGAGUUUGGGCUUAACAUAUACCCAGAAACAGACUUGCAGUCCUAGAGAACAGACUUGUGGUUGCCAAGAGGGAGAGGGACAGAGGAGGGUUGGAUUCGGGGUUUAGGAUUAGCAGAUGCAAACCAUGAUUUUUAGAAUGGUUAAACAACAAGAUCCUACUGUAUAGCACAGGGAACUAUAUUCAAUAUCCUGUGAUAAACCAUAAUGGAAAAGAAAAAGAAAUCUGAUGUGUCUUUAAGUCUCUUUUAGCUUACAGGUUCCCUCUCUGUACCUUUAUUUUCCUUAAAAUUUAUGUAGGAGAAUCCAGACCAUUUGACCUCUAGAAUGUCCCGAAACCUGGCAUCAUACAAUCCAUUCAGAGCCUGAAUAGCACAAAAAGACAGAGGAAGGGCAACUUUGCUCUCUGGUUAAGCUAAGAUGUCUAUCUCCUCCUGCCCUAGGACAUCCAAGCUCCUGGUUCUCAGGCUUUGGGACUCAGACCAGAACUUAUACCCUCAGUCCCUGGGUUCUCAUGCCUUCAGACUCAGACUGGGUUACACCACUGGCUUUCCUGUUUGCUAGCUUGCAGAUGGCAGAACGUGGGACUUCUUGGCCUCCACAAUCAUGUGAGUCAAUUCCUGUAAUAAAUCUAUGUAUCUAUAUAUAUGCGUGUAUGUAUCUAUAUGUAUGUAUCUAAAUAUAUCCUGUUGAUUCUGUUUCUCUGAAGAACCCUGAAUAAUACCCCCACCCGGAAGUCCCCUACCUUCCCCACAAAAGUAACCAUAGUCUGAAUUUAUUGUAAUCACCUAGCUGCAUUUUUUUAUUGGUCACCUGCAUAUGUGCGUCCUUAGCACUAUAGUUUGGCUUUGGUCAUUUAAAAAAUUUCACGUGUCUUUAAGUCUCUUUUAACUUCUCUAUCUCUUUUUUUUCCCCUAAAAUCUAUAUGGAAGAAUCCAGGCCAAUUGACAUUUAGUGUUUCCCCAAAUCUGGCUUGGGCUGAUUGCAGUCUCUUGGUGCAAAUGCAGCAUGGACCCCUGUCCUCUUUAUUUCCUGAAAAUUGGCAACUGGUUCCAGACACUAGAUCAGACUCCUUUUGGCAAGAUUCUAGGUGGUAUUUGGCAAGAUCAGAGGAGGUACACAAUAUCUAGUUGUCCCUCUUUUUAUGAUAGGAUCAAUUUUGUAGCUUAAUUUCUAUAUAUUUUAACUCACUAGAGUUCCAGAAUGAUGCUAUCUGAAUUCUAUCCUUUCUUUCCAUUUAUUACUUAGAAUACAUUAAUAAAGAGACACUUCAUUUCGUGCUGAUUACUUAAAGGUGUAGUUCAUGUAGGGAAAGAAGGAUGAAUGCUCGGUUCUUUCUCUUUAUUUACUAAUUCUCAUGAAUUAGUUCCUUGUCAUACUUCAGUUCCAUUUUUCAAAAGAUCAUUUAAGAACUUAUGGGUUUAAACAUACUUACAGGCUUAAAUACAUUUGCCUUUAUUAUCAUUACUGAAGCUCACAUUAUCACAUCUAUCUCAAAUUAUCAGUUAUACCUAGAAUCUACCAUUCCUCUAAUGAGCCUCAGGUUCUUCUAGUGAGAAAUUACAUUUUAAAACCAUACCUGGUGCUAGGAUGCUCAUUGCUACUGGAUCAGUCUGUGUUUCUAGGCCUUUUCAGUGGACAGAGCUAGGAAAGGUAUAUGUCUGUAGAUUUAUAUGUGUAUAGUUUGCAUCUGCUCUUUCCCCCAUUUUUAAAUAGUUGCACUUUGUGUAUAGGAUGUCUUAGCCCUCGCAUAGUCUUUGUUCCACAGGUAAAACACAUCACAUGUAGUAUCUACCAUCAGGUCAAGGCCACCCUAGUCAUCUUGGCUGCCUGAGGCUGAUUCUCACAAGAGGGUCUUAGGAAUAGUAGGCUGAGUCCUUGGAGGUUGCUAAGUUUGUCCAGGCCCUUUAUAGUUGAAAAUGCUGGAUAUUCAAUCCUUGAUUCAUACUUUCUUUCUUUGACUAUCUUAAAUAUGUUACCUCAUUUCCUUCUGGGAAAAAGCAUCACUGUGGUAAAAACAACAACAACAACAACAAAAAACCAAAACCUAGUGGUGGGAGUUCCCUUGUGGCCUAGCACUUAAGUAUCCAGAGUUGUCAGUGCUGUGGCUUGGGAACUUUUGUAUGUUGUGGG
rnacentral:lncRNA from 1 species